UACGGAGGGUGCAAGCGUUAUCCGGAUUCACUGGGUUUAAAGGGAGCGUAGGUGGGUUGGUAAGUCAGUGGUGAAAUCCCCGAGCUUAACUUGGGAACUGCCAUUGAUACUAUCAGUCUUGAAUACUGUGGAGGUUAGCGGAAUAUGUCAUGUAGCGGUGAAAUGCUUAGAUAUGACAUAGAACACCAAUUGCGAAGGCAGCUGGCUACACGAAUAUUGACACUGAUGCACGAAAGCGUGGGGAUCAAACAGG
rnacentral:rRNA from 1 species